GACGAACGCUGGCGGCGUGCUUAACACAUGCAAGUCGAACGGAAAGGCCCUGCUUUUGUGGGGUGCUCGAGUGGCGAACGGGUGAGUAACACGUGAGUAACCUGCCCUUGACUUUGGGAUAACUUCAGGAAACUGGGGCUAAUACCGGAUAGGAGCUCCUGCUGCAUGGUGGGGGUUGGAAAGUUUCGGCGGUCGGGGAUGGAUUCGCGGCUUAUCAGCUUGUUGGUUGGGUAGUGGCUUACCAAGGCUUUGACGGGUAGCCGGCCUGAGAGGGUGACCGGCCACAUUGGGACUGAGAUACGGCCCAGACUCCUACGGGAGGCAGCAGUGGGGAAUAUUGCACAAUGGGCGGAAGCCUGAUGCAGCAACGCCGCGUGCGGGAUGACGGCCUUCGGGUUGUAAACCGCUUUCGCCUGUGACGAAGCGUGAGUGACGGUAAUGGGUAAAGAAGCACCGGCUAACUACGUG
rnacentral:rRNA from 1 species